rnacentral:rRNA from 1 species
AACGCUAGCUACAGGCUUAACACAUGCAAGUCGAGGGGCAGCAUGAACUUAGCUUGCUAAGUUUGAUGGCGACCGGCGCACGGGUGAGUAACGCGUAUCCAACCUGCCGAUGACUCGGGGAUAGCCUUUCGAAAGAAAGAUUAAUACCCGAUGGCAUAAUUCUUCCGCAUGGUAGAAUUAUUAAAGAAUUUCGGUCAUCGAUGGGGAUGCGUUCCAUUAGGUUGUUGGCGGGGUAACGGCCCACCAAGCCUUCGAUGGAUAGGGGUUCUGAGAGGAAGGUCCCCCACAUUGGAACUGAGACACGGUCCAAACUCCUACGGGAGGCAGCAGUGAGGAAUAUUGGUCAAUGGACGAGAGUCUGAACCAGCCAAGUAGCGUGAAGGAUGACUGCCCUAUGGGUUGUAAACUUCUUUUAUACGGGUAUAAAGUGAGGCACGUGUGCCUUUUUGUAUGUACCGUAUGAAUAAGGAUCGGCUAACUCCGUGCCAGCAGCCGCGGUAAUACGGAGGAUCCGAGCGUUAUCCGGAUUUAUUGGGUUUAAAGGGAGCGUAGGCGGACGCUUAAGUCAGUUGUGAAAGUUUGCGGCUCAACCGUAAAAUUGCAGUUGAUACUGGGUGUCUUGAGUACAGUAGAGGCAGGCGGAAUUCGUGGUGUAGCGGUGAAAUGCUUAGAUAUCACGAAGAACUCCGAUUG